rnacentral:rRNA from 1 species
GACGAACGCUGGCGGCGUGCUUAACACAUGCAAGUCGAACGGUGAAGCGCCUUCCUUUUUGGUGGGUGUGGAUGAGUGGCGAACGGGUGAGUAACACGUGGGUAACCUGCCCCCUUCUUCUGGAUAACCGCAUGAAAGUGUGGCUAAUACGGGAUAUUCUGGGUCUGUCGCAUGAUGGGUCUGGGAAAGAUAUUGUUUCGGUGGGGGAUGGGCUCGCGGCCUAUCAGCUUGUUGGUGGGGUGAUGGCCUACCAAGGCGGUGACGGGUAGCCGGCCUGGGAGGGUGGACGGUCACACUGGGACUGAGACACGGCCCAGACUCCUACGGGAGGCAGCAGUGGGGAAUAUUGCACAAUGGGCGCAAGCCUGAUGCAGCGACGCCGCGUGAGGGAUGGAGGCCUUCGGGUUGUGAACCUCUUUCGCCAGUGAAGCAGGCCUGCCUCGUUUGUGGGUGGGUUGACGGUAGCUGGAUAAGAAGCGCCGGCUAACUACGUG